AUUUGUGCUGUUCAAACUGUCUUUAACAGUUCGGAUACAGGCCACAUAUGGGCAAAAAAAAAUCGGAUUUGGGCCACGUUUGCCUGCAAUCUGAACGUAGCCUAAGACACCUCAU